GGCCGCGGUAGCCAGCGGAGUCCUUCCCGGGCGGGCUGCAGCGGGGCCGCCCGGCGCCGCCGACCGCUGGCCGUGACAGGGCGGAGGCGAAGGGCCGGGCGGGUCGCUCCCCCCUCCUCAGCCGCAGCCCUGGAGUAGCAGCGGGAAGAAUCUUCUCCCUGACCUUGGUCGCCGCUUCGGGGACUCCUCCUGACCCCGGCUCAGGGCCGGGGGAGCCGGCGGGGCAGGGGGAGGAGCUCUGGGAGGCAGCAUUAAACUUUAAGGUUAACAUUAAGAAGAACAUUUGUUAAGUGUUUUGCUGUAUUCAGAGAAGGAUAUGUCAACCUCAAGUGCCAAGCAAUGUCUGCCACUGACAGGUCGUUCUCCACAUCCAAAAUAUGUUUACACAUUAGCAAAGUGACAGAAAGGAUAACAGACAUGUAAGAUGAGAAACUACAGGCUUUUGACAGCCUCCAAUGAUGUUCUAGCAAACAACCAAAGCAAGUAUUUUCUGGAAGAAACUGUUAAAGGUUGGCAUGAAACUGGAAAGCAAAUUACAUUUAGGUAAAAGCUGUCGAUUUUUCACUGUUGAAGAAGUUCAAAGACAAAGGUUUUCAGUUGAAAAUGGAAAGGAUGAGAGACAGUUGCCUAGUAAAAUGUCCCAAACUGUAGCUGCACAUCUGUUAUUAAUGUCACGUUCUUAUGAGUAGUAUCAUAAACUCAUCAGAAGAAUAGAUAGCUCUUUACACUGUUGUACUACAGGAAGCAGAAUCAGGUUCAAAGUCUUGUGCUUAAUCUGCUGGAUACUCAGAGAGCACGUGGUUAGGUCUAUUUACAGGUCUCUUGUUGAUGUCUUUUCCCAAUUAUAUAAGUAAACUGUAUGUACAAGUGAACAAAAGUCUGAAGGUUUUCGGGAAUCAUCUGAGACUGCAGAAUGAAAUGCAACAAAGACAAAAAUCCUUGACAAAAUUCACCUUCUCCAAACCUAAGCCACCCUUCUAUAAAGGGUUGGGGGUUUUUUGUUUGGGGUAGGGCUUUUGUUUAGGGUUUGUUUGCUUUUCUGUGUCUUGUGAGGGUUUUUUCCCUUUUACUGGAGAUCUGUAGAAACAAACUUAUGUAAAACAGUAACAUUAAGGUCUAAAUUAGAUUAAUUUCAGGUGAGGACUUCUGCAAGUUGCACUCCACCUGGAGGGUGUUCUACUGUUCUAAUGAGGGCUAUAAAGCCAUGGUAAAACAAAAUAAGAACAGAACUUAACCACCUAGAAAAGUAAAGUUCCAUUGACUGCCACUAAUAUCUAGUAAGUGAGGUUAAUUGCUCCCUUAUUACUAAGGUGUCAAGCAAUUAACACAUAUCUGUUGGAUUCAUAGGUUAUCCAAAGGCCUGUCCUUGACAGUUUUACUACAGUAGAGCCUUUAUUAUUAGUUGUUUGUUUAUGGUGCUUUUUACCUCCCCUAUGGAUCAUUUAUGAGGACUGCAAAUAAAAGAACUCAUGUAGAUGCACAGUGGGAGCAACUUUUGAAUAUUUGAUGCAGAUAACCUCCUAGGCUAUUGAAAUGGGUACUACAAAUUUAAAACUAUAGUGAGAUCCCACAAAGAGAAUAAUGGUCAAGAUGCUUAUAUGUUUGCAGGAACUCAAAUUAUUUGCAGAGUUGCGUGUUUAAGAAAUACUCUUCUUAAUGGUGAAACAUCUGCAAGCUGAUAGAAGCAGCUAGCAUUCUUGCUCUGGAAUCUGGAAUCAAUAUUGCUGAACAACAGCAAAAAUAAAAUACCAUUUUUUUAAAACACUGCAGUUGUGGAUACAAAAUAAAUAGGAUUCAUUUUUUCAACACGCAGAAAGAGUGGUAGGCUUGCAAAGAGGCACCCAUAAAAUAGAACAAAAGAGAUCCUUGCAAAACUAUAGAAGAAUCAGAAUCCCCACAUUGAAUAAUUCACAAAUAUUUUUCUCUUAUGAAGGGGGGGAAGUAAAAGCAAAUAGGGCUUGGUUAGUCUACUACUACUACUUUGUUCUUCAGAAGAGCUAACACUACUAACACUUAGUGGCAUGGUCUAGUUGAUUGGAUAGGGCUGGGGGAUAGGUUGGCCUGGAUGAUCUUGGAGGUCUCUUCCAACCUGGUUGAUUCUGUGAUUCUAAGAUUUGGGAACAUGGCUAACAUUGUUUUGCUUUGUGACACGUACUGUCAAAGAGAUGAGAAUUCUGGCUAAUCAGUAAGCAAUUUUUAAAUCUAAAACCCCAUAAAAGGCAAAAUUUUGGAUCAGCACUAUUUUUUAUGUAGCCUUACAUAGCUCUAAAGCAUUUAUUCUAUAUUUGGAGUAUUUGCUUUUCUAUUUGGAGAAGCAAUUAUUGUUUCAGAGGUUUUUAUUUGUUAUUUGUUCAUCUUAAGAAAUUUGUCCUUGGUACAUUGUUCUUUUAUUUCAAAUUGAACUCAAGAUACAAGGUUAGUUAAUCUUUCUGACAGAAAGAUUUAUGCCUAUACAGAAAAUGCCACAGCAGUUAUCCAUCUGAAAGUUUUUGCUUAUAGGAAGGAAGGUAAAUUAAUUGUGUUUCUCUAAUACCAAAACCAUGGAGCUUUUCUUAACGUGAUUUUAUUGCAAAUAGCCAUCAACUUCUUAUAGUCAACAUGCAAAAUUACUCCUUCUUUUUUUUACUUUAUAAUCACAAAAGUAUAAACAAACUGAUGCAUCAAAAGGAAAGUAAAAUUCCAGUCUAAUAGCAGUCAUUAAGGUCCUUGCAGAGCAGUUCUUAACUAUUUAAAAAAGCUGAUCUGAGAACUAAAAAAAAUGCAUAUUUUUGUAAGCUGUAAUUUGUCUGUGUUGAAUUCUAUAGCUACUCCUGUUAGCUAAUUUUAUAUCUACUGUUAUAUAUAUGAAAUAUGUAAUUAUCAUAGAUAAAAUAUUUCCUGUUAGCUGUAACUUUUCCAGUGUUACGAAAAAAAAACAGACUCUCAUUUACAUUUCAUCUACAUAUCAUAACAAUCAUCUUUGUACUUUAUUCACAAACACAUAUGGUUAAAGUCAUCCUAAAUGUAGCAUAAAUUGAAUGUUUAGGUAUUAUUGUUGAAGAAUUAUUGUAAGUUUCUCAGUCCUUUAGAUGAGAACCAAUAUACCCAUUGUGUUUAGCAAAGAGCUGCCUGAAGAACCUGGUUUUGCACCAUGACUGAUAAGUUUGGAAUGCUGAAUCCCAAUUUCAAUGCAAAAAAAUUACCUUUGUGACAUAUAUUCUGAAUUAAUCAGUAACAAAAAAUGUUGUACCUCAUCAUACCACUACAGGCUCUGAUAAAAAUACUUUCUCCAUUGUUAUUCUUUUCCCCUUUAUAUAUUGAAUGUCUGCAAUAAAAUUUCCUCAUAUCCUCUU